rnacentral:lncRNA from 1 species
UUUCCGGGAACAAAGUUGGUGGCAUAUGACCAAACAUUGUUGUUAACAGGGUCAGCCAAGUGAUCAGCUAGGUUCUCAAUCGGUCCAUUUCCUGUCACAAUAGCUUGCACAAAAAACCCGAACAUGGAGAACAUGGCUAAUCUUCUUGAGCUCCUUCACUUUAAGCUCAGCAAAAGCCUCAGGAUCGUCUGCAAGCCCUAAGGGGUCAAAGCUCCCCCCAGGGUACAAAGGGUCUACAACUUCACCGAGAGGUCCUCCUGCAAUUCUGUAGCCUUCAACUGCACCCAUCAAGAUCACUUGUGUUGCCCAGAUUGCCAAAAUGCUCUGAGCAUGAACUAAGCAUGGGUUUCCCAAGUAGUCUAGUCCACCCUCACUGAAGAUUUGAGCUCCUGCCUUGAACCAAACAGCUUCUCCGAACUUGCUCCAUUACGAGCUAGGAAUUCAGGGAAGACACAUCCUAGAGCACCGAGCAUGGCCCAUCUUGAAUGGAUGACCUCGAGCUCACGGUUCUUGGCAAAUGUCUCGGGAUCGACUAAGAGCCCAGCUGUGUCCCAACCAUAGUCACCGGGAAACUCUCCGGUGAGAUAAGACGGGGCUUCAUUGGAGAAUGGGCCCAAGUACUUGACACGGUCAGGACUGCACCAUGGGCUGCCGGAUGACACAUUUUUGGACUUGGCUGCGGUUUUGCGCAUGGUGAUUCUGCCCUCACCGAGGAGGUUGGAUGUAGAAGAACCAAGCUGUGAGAAGGGGAGAGAGCCAUUGUUGAAGCAGCCAUAUGAGAAAAUGAAAGUGUUUACGAGUGUGUAGAGGGCCGAGUGAUUGUUAUGUUUUGCAUAGAGAAGCAUGGUGGGUAUUUGUAUAGGUUUGAUGCUAGAAAGUCGUUAUCUUUCUGCUAUCUUCAUCCCUUUUCUCACUGGUGAAAUGAAGUUCAAAGAGUUUCAAUCCUUUGAUCAAUUCCAGUUGGCAUGAUAGGCUCCAGUUAUUUAGUUCCACAAAGAUAGCAAUUGGAAAAUAGUUAUGCUUUGAUUUCUGACCAAGUAGAAUUAGCCCUACGAACAUGGCCGUCUUUUUGCAAUAAUGAUCAUAAUGACUCGAUUUCCAGUUGGUUUGAUAUGCACCACCAGCAUAACGUACGUAUAGAUACCAUAGAACAUCAAAGGAGAAAGAAUAAUGAAUUUUUCGACUAGAAAUGAGGAUGUUAAAACUAGACACAUGAUUACAAAAAUCUGAAAUAACAUUAAGAAUCUCUAUAAUUAAGGAUACAUUCAACUAAACAUAAAUUAGAAACAAAAUAUUACUCUAACGACGACUCAUUUGGCAUAUGUAAACCUUCAGACCAAUGUUCUAAAAAAUGCUAGGCGCUAGUCGGGCGGUAGAGGUGAAAUUUUGAAACCAAAAACCGAAAAAAAACCGAGCCGAAAACCAAACCGAAACUGGAAAAAACCAAACCUAAUUAAGAAAAACCGAACCGAACCAAAUUAGUUUGGUUUGGUUUUUGGUUUCGGCCCUUGAAAAACCGAACCGAACUGAAAAACUGAAUAUCCCUAAAACGACGUCGUUUUUUGUCUUUAUUUUCAUAUUAAAUAUUUGAUUUGAACAAUAUGAUUUUUAGGUUUUAUGUUCUAUAUAAUUAUCUGUUUGUCUUUUCUAAUAUUUUGCUUUUUAUUUUCAUUUUAUGUACAUAUAGAAAUGUUUUAGGUGUCGUGUAUGCAAAGUAUAGAGAGUGAUAUGUUACCUCUAAAAUCGAAGACCUUAUUAUUGCGAGCUUUAGAUGACAAAUUCUAAUAUUUAAUUUAUUUUUCUCUUCUUUAUUCAAAUUUAUGAUUUUUAAAAUUUAAAAUUCGGAAUUUAUUUGGAUGAACUUUAAACUAUGGAGUCUAUAUGUUGUGUUCAAGAUGAACUUACAAGUUUUAAAAUUAUGGUUUCAUGGUGUGCUAGUGUGGUCAAUUCUCAAUACUUUCGAAAUUAUUGAGUAUUAAACUUUCAAAGUAUCUAUUUGGUUUAUAAAUUGUUGGUUUGUUGAAGAAAUCAUUGUCAAAAAUUUUAUUGAUAUAUUAUAUAUGCUUAUAAAAAAAAACUAGUAAUGGAAGAAAAAAAAGACCUAAAAUACGAUAAUUUUUUACCAAGGCAAAAGCAUACAAAUUUUAAGAAAAAUUAUUUUAAAAAAGAAGAAAAACAAAAAAAAAACUGAACCAAACCACGGUUUGGUUUGGUUUCCGGUUCAAGGUCUCAAAAAAUACCAAACCAAACUGAAUUUUUUAUUCGGUUUGGUUUCAGGUUUUAUGUGAAAACCAAACUCACCCCUAUCGGGCGGACAGCCGGUGACUAGCGCUUAAACGGGUCAAUCGGGAGAUUAAUCAGUUUUCUAACUCUCUAGACGGAAACAGUGAAGCACCGCCUAACACGUAGGCGUGGAUUAAUCGGCUAUAAGCGGAGAUUUUUAAACCAUUGCUUGAGACAACAACUAGUCCUUAAAACUUGUAUGACGAAAUUGACUGUGGCUCAAAUUAUAAGGAGCUACAUUUAGAAUAUCUGCUGCUAUGGGGCAAGUAAGCAAAACAUGGGAAGUAUCUUCAUAAGGACAUGGGCAUGAUAUGCAUCAAGUAUCACCUGUAUAACCCUUUGUAGUAAGUGCACGUACCUCUCAUUGGCAGUCGGUUAAAGCAAGCUUUCCAGAAGCAAAUACGCACCUCCUCGGUACUUUUGUUUUCCACAAUCGUUUCUGCUAUAAGCCGUUUUUAUGGUCAUGUCUUUUUUUUUUUUUUUUUUUUUCUGUUUUAGGUAGAACAAAAUUUUCUUGCCUUGCUUUUUUUUUUCAAUAUGAUAUUUGUUUGCUCAAUACCAUUUUGGUCUAGUGACAUAAGUCUCUCCUUGUAAAUGAGAAGUCGUGAGUUCGACUCAUAGUAUUGUAGCAUAUUAUUGUGCGUUUGAUCCAAAAAUAAAAUAUGAUCUUUAUUUGGGAUCAUAGCGUUUUUUUGCUUUUUGCUUCAAUAUGCAUGUGGACAUUUUAUGUACUUAUAGGCUCAAUUAUGGUGUGAGCUGAAAUAUGUAGUAGGAGUGUUACCUGUACGUGGAUUAUUUGAUCUUAUUUACCCUCUUUACACAAGACAAUGCAUUGAUUCAUGAUGUAUCAUUUAUUUGAAUGGAUUGGAAUAUCUUCUUUAAUUCAAAAAUUAAUUAAAGAUCUCUUUCCUUAAGAUUGUGAGCAAACUUUUGCAUUUAUACAUAAUUAAUGGCCACUAUGAGCAAGUAAUAUUUAUUUUCAUUACCUAUUAAAGUUCAUUCAUCGCUAUAUAAGCAUGGAUGUAGCAAGAAAACUCCUAUAGUUUAUUCUAAGCCUGAGCCAGAGAUAAAAUGAUGAGAAAAGCAUUGUGGCAGCUCUACUGUUUUCUGCUUUUCCUUGUCCUAGCGCAUUGCAUUCUCCAUUGUGGCAGCCACCCUGUUUGGGGAAGAAAGUAUUUCGUCCGUAUUGUUAACAAUCUCGAAAACAACGAAGUGCUUAACUUUCAAUGUAAAUCCCUAGAUGAUGUAAUUGGUCCGCGUACUCUUCCUCCAUUUGGUGAAUUUGAAUUUAAAUUUCACUUCGGCCCUGAUACAGUGUUUGAAUGCUCUACGUGGUACUCAAAUCGCAUGGCUAAUUUUACAGCAUGGGAACCAAUUGUUCAACCUUUAUGAGGCGGGGCGCAUUUAAUUUAACUAUAUACUAAAGUAUGGUUUACUGUUCAUAAUCACUGUUCACAUCACAUGAAUAGUGCACUGUUUGGUGGGUGUGAUUCUGUUUAUGCCCUCUGUUUCUAAAAAACCACGAAAUUACCAUUAACCCUAGAUAUAUGAUUGUCUUCUAUAUAAUUAGUUGUUGUUGAGGAUGUUGUGGGUUGGGAAGUAAUUUUUGAACUCUUAUCUUCAUUACCGUGUCUCAAUUUUUUUUUUUUUCAUAGAUCUCACAAAGGGUAUUGUUAUCGAAGUCAAUCUAAAAUAGGGUAGUGGUAUCAUAGACCAAGGUUGAGCAAGUUUAUUUUCUUAAUUAUUGAGGUGAAACAAUUUUGGUUCUAUUUUAGCAACGGAAUAUUAAUUGAAGUACAAAUAUCUUUGAUUUGGCCAAAGAAAUUAUCUGGUUGCAAACCAACUCCUAAUUAACAAAACGUACUAAGUUAAUUUAAAUAUCGUGUGAUGAAGUACUAUGUUAUAUAUACUAAUGCAAUAUAUUUGGUUUUUGUUUUGUUUACUUUUAAUUUACUUGGUUUCUCAUCUUUGGUUUUAGUUUUGUUUACUUUCAAUUGAGUUGGUUCCUCAUUUUUUGUUUGGUUUUUAUGUCAAGUUCUCAUCUUUGACAUUUUGAGAUCAGUCUCUUUAGGAGCUUGAGAUAAAUAUUCUUUUCAGUUAAUUAAUCACUUGCUUUGUGUGUGUGUGUGUGUGUGUGUUUUGUUUUUUUUUUUUCUUUACUNUAGUAUNAUAUANCUUUAUUAGUUAGUUUUUAGUUUUUUUUUUUUUUUUUUUUCCUAUCUUUAGUUUCCUAUAAAUCAAGUUUUCUAAAAAUUGCGUUUUUGGUGAAAAACAGUUAAACAAAUAUGAGCAUUUUGUAUAGUCAAAACUAGAGCUAUAUUUUCGAUCAUACUGCUUCAGAUAAGUUGUUCUAUUUUGUGCACUUACAAGACAUUUACUAUUUUGGAUAGGUUACAACACUAGAUGUUUUGUAUUGAAGUUCUAUGAAGUACAUAUCAAAAACUUUUUCAUCAAUCAACUGAAUCAUUAACCAGUUUUAUAAAUAUACACCGCGCCAAGGCGCGGGUAUCAACUCUAGUUGUAUAUACAGUGUGUGAUCUGCUACUGUGUUCAGGUACAACAUAGCAACUCGACGAUAUGUAGGAGUCAUUAAUUUUUGGACUGUAGUACCAUGAAAAUGUUUGGGACAAAUGUAGUUUCAAACAAGAAAUAUUUAUAAGCUACAAGUAUGUUUUUUUAUUUUUUAUUUUUUUUAUAUAUGAAUAAAGGGCUGGUGCGGCUGUUUUCAAGCCUUCAUUAAUGAAACUGUCGAAUACAAGAGGGGCAUAUAUAAAGCCUAAACCCCUGAUUACAAAGACCCAAAAUAAUAUCGAGAAUCUCUAUAAAAUACAUGUAUUCUGAUAAACACCAACUAGCAAAUAGUACUACCCUAAAGACGAAUAUAUUUGCUUUGUCAUAUCGGUGACAUAAUGGAAAGAUCACUAGAUAUGUAACACGAUUACUUAUCCUAAUGUCUGAUAAAGAAUAGUACACAAGAAGUUAAUUAGCAAAGAAUAUUAGAAUACUUAUAUAUACACCAAGUUCUAAUACCAAACGUGAUCGAUCCAAUUUUUUUAUUUUUUUGAUGAAAGGGAUUGUAGUAAUCAAACUGGGCACAAAUUAUCUACCCAAACUACAGGAUUUGGAGCUGCAUAUGUUGUACUAGCCAAUCUGUGCGCCACUGUAUUGCAAGUUCUACUACCCAUGAGAGAGAGUCAUGGAUGUCACAAAGUAACCCUUCCAGCCCUACAUAGGUACCUUGCGUAUAGGAGAUAACCAAAAUUGCCUCUAGACAAUCUGUUUCUAUGAUAGCACAUACACAAUGUUUUCAAAAGUUUUAGUCCUUCUUUGAUAGCAUAUACCUCCGCCUUCUUUGCAGAGACUACUGGGGCAAUAGGAAUGACCAAAGCUGCCUUGAAUUUUCCUUGAUUAUCCCUGAGUAUCCCUCAAGUGCCUCCACGAAGAAAUGUUGGAAGAAAGCUACCAUCCACCAUGAGUUUGGUUUCCAUUUCUUGUGUUGUAGUUGGGGAGUCUGCCUUACUGGAGGUUGUAUUUGAACUUGUUGGUUUUCAUUGAACUAGGCCAUUGCCCAUGCUUGUACUUCUUGUGCUGUUUGAUGCUUUUCAUUCCAUAGUAUAUUGUUUCUGUUAGGCCAAAGAGACCACAAGCUGAUGAGAAGUUUGGCAAAGAGCUCCUUUGGCAUAUGUAAACCUUGAGACAACAACCAGUCCUUAAAACUUGUACGAGGAAAUUGAAUGUGGCUCAAAUUAUAAGGAGCUGCAUUUAGAAUAUCUGCUGCUAUGGGGUAAGUAAGCAAAACAUGGGAAGUAUCUUCAUAAGGACAUGGGCAUGAUAUGCAUCAAGUAUCACCUGUAUAACCUUUUUUAGUAAGUGCACGUACUUCUCAUUGGCAGUCGGUUAGAGCAAGCUUUCCAGAUGCAAAUACGCACCUCCCCGAGUCCCCGUAAUUUUUGCUUUCCACAAUUGUUUCUACUAUGGGUCCGUUUUUUUUUUUUUUUUUUUUUCUUAGUUUCAGGUAGAACAAAAUUUUCUUGCCUCUUCACAAAAACAUUUCUUGCCUUGUUCGUUUUUUUUUUUUUUUUUUUCAAUAUGAUCUUUGUUUGUGAUCAUAGCGUUUUUUUGCUUUUUGCUUUAAUAUGCCUCUGGAUAUUUUAUGUACUUAUAGGCUCAAUUGCGAUGUGAGCUGAAAUGUGUAGUGGGAGUGUUACCUGUACGUGAAUCAUACACAAGACAGUGCAUCGAUUCAUGAUGUAUCCUUUCUAUUAAGAAAAACAUAAGGGUCUUAUGACUUCUACUUAGUUGCUGAUUCAUAGAAUUAUUACCACUCUUAGGCUCAGUUUAGGAUUGCAUUUUUGGGUUAAAUCCUGCUUUUUCUCACCCAUUUAUGACUGAUAGCCUGUUUGGUAAGCAUUUCAUAUCUGCGUUCUUUUAACGAUUGCGGCCGGAAACCGCAAAAAUGAAAAGCAGCGGAGGACCUGCUUUUUCUUAUCCAGCGUUUUGUGAACGUGAAUCAAAUAGCCUGUACAUUCAUGAAAUUCCAGAAACAUCCCCACUGAAAUUCAAAAGUCAAACCCCUCGGAAUUAAUUCUCGUUCUCUUCUUCUGGGUUUCUUUCGUUUUUUGCCUUCUUUUGCAGCUCCUCAUCCCCUUGCCUUCGUACCUCUCUCUUCACAGCUAUUCACUUCUUCUUUGAUGGAUUACUGUAUCAUAUUAUUUUAUAUAUAGAUCUGUAAUUGAUCGUAAGGUGAUCGAGGUUUCCAUCGAAUCGCAUACACUUCGUAAUUUGAUGAGAAGAACAAAAGAUCCAUAUGAGUCAAAAGAUCUGUAUCUAUUUUUGAAAUUCUUUGUUUUUGAUAUCAUGUUUACCAAACAUUGUAGCAGUACUUAUUUUUACCUCAACACUUUCAAAUAUAUGAUUUACCAAACAUUAUACCGAGAUUUUUUACAACAGAUUAUUUUUACAACAGAGUUAUUUUAAAGUAGAGUUUAUAUACCUCAAUAUCAAACUAGGCUUUAUUGGUGGACAUAUAACCAAAAUGACGGUUUCUGAUGUCCUAGAAAUGAAAAACAAAAAUUUGAAAGAGUGGCAUUAUUUUUUGAGCAAUUUAAUGACAUCACACAUUAUAACCUAUACUAAAGACCUAUCUCUAAUGUACCGUUCAUUUUAUUUGUCCUUAUUCUCUCGAUAAAUUUUUCAGUAUUUCCGAAAGACCAUGUGGCAUUGCCUGGUUAUCCAAGCCUAUGAGACGUUGACACGUGACACUUUUUAGACAACUCGCAUCAAGGUUAAUUCAUUUAGUUUUCAACUGCAGUAAAACAAACCCCUCAACUAUCGCCGUUAAGUGAUAGUGUGAUAAAAAAAUGUAAAUCUCUGAAUUUUGUUCGUCCUCUCGCCGUCUGCCUUUCUCUUUGUGUUCUUUUCAGCAGAAGCACAAGGAAGCUUGUGGGUUCAGUUAAGCCUUGUCGUCGCCCAUAAGAUCCACUUUGUCCAACAAUUGGGAUUUUCAGUUCCCCGUAGCUAUUACCCGAUCUCCUCCACGCGUCCCCAGGUUUCUUCUCUUCUCUUCUCAUUUCCCAAUUGUUUUUCUUGCUCUUUGGGUCUUGCUAGUUUUUGUUAAUUUUGGUUAGAGAGUUGAAUGAUUGUGAUCAGACUCACUUUUCGGAGAAGAAAAGAAAAUUGAAAAUGGGAGAACUGAGUUCAAAGAAAGAGAAUUUGGGAAACGAAAUCCGCACAAACCGACGGAGGUGAGUAUUCGACGAUUUUGGUUAGUUAUAUGGAAUUGAUGAAACUUCGACGGCUCUCCCUUCUUGAAUAUGUUGUUUAUGGGAUUUGAUUUCUACACCAAAGUGAGGAAAAUUCUAUUAAGCUAUCAUAUAUUCAUAUUGGCUAUGAUUGAAUGGUACAUGACCAUAAUAGCUUGAAUUCCAGUAAAAGCUUUGUGGAUUUGGGAUUUGAAGUUUGAGGUUUUAUUUUUAUUUUUUGGAUUUGAAUUUUGCAGUUUUUGAAAUUUUACAUGUUAGUUGAUGUUGUUAUCCUUUUCAUGUUAAAGUCCAAUGUAUGAUUUAGCAGGUUAGAUGAGAUAUUGGAUUUGCUGAACCUUCAGGUAGUUAGAAAAUAUGCCAAUGUCUCCAAUGGAGGGGUGCCAUUUAAUUAGAAAGUAAACAUCCCACAUUGUUAUCAGCCCUAGACCACCAUUUUACACAUUUCAGACCAACAAUUUGAUUGCUUGUUUUCUCUGCUAUGUACUCAAAUCUAUUACAGCUACUGGGAUAGCUGCAUCACCAAAACUAGUUCUUUGUGUAUCACAGCUUAUGACUCUAAUUGUUUUACCAUCAAGGUCACACAGAAUACUUGAUUUUGGAUUAGUCAUUUACUUAUCCAUUUUGUCAAAUAUGGGUUCUGCUGAGAAAUGCCAGGAUGGCAAGUAAUUAAGCAACAAUUUUUGGAUGAUCCUUCUGAAACAACUAUAUACAUAGCUGGUUUGCAGGCUGCAUGGAAGCUUGGUGCUGCAUUCAAAUUGGUUAUCAUUUGAUUAUGACACUGCGUCUAGUAUCUGCUAAGUUUAUUGGUCUUUAGGUUCAAAAGUUUCGUUUUAUCGAAACUCUUAUGAGUUUUAUUUGGUUUGCAUAUAGUUCUCUUUUGAAGCUUGUAUUAUAUCUAAAUAUUUCUCAUGUUCUCUUUUUAGAUCUACCCCAAAUCCUGUUUUUUCUUUUUUUGAAUUCUGGGUGCACAGGCAGUGAGAUUGUAGUUGUCAGUGACAAACUAAGGAUAAAUUGGAAGAGCUUUAAGGUAUCUCAAUCAGUGAUUUCCUGAAUUACUUCAUUUGGAAGAGCCUUAAGAUAACUUGGUUAUUCUGAUUCCUAUAUGAUGUCUGAUAAUGUGUGGACAUGGGUGCAGGUUGAACCGUAACAGAUGAGGAUUGGCAUAGUUGAGUUUGAGGAUGAUGUGGUACUUGACAGUGAGGGUGACGAAGUUAAUGGAAGGUGACUCAUACAAGUAUGUCUCUGGACAAAAAGUGCACUGCAGGUUUGUAUAUUUGCUUCUUCUUUUUUUUGUUGUAUUUUGGUUAAUUUUUUGAUAGCAGUUGGCGUUGAACGUGUUGAUGAUAUGAAGUUUUUUUUCUUAAUGAAUGCUUGAGGAAGUAAUCUCUGCAAGACUUUGCAUUUACUAAUUUGAAUGACAAGUUUCUUGAAAUAAUUUUCAUACUACGGAGGAGUAAAGGCCGAAAUAUUUGUGCUGCUUGCAGAAUUUAGCUACAUCGACUCCCAUGAUCUUGGUUGGUCGCAUUACUGUAAGAGAAAGACAUUAGAUAAAUGGCUUUCAAACAUAUAUAUGAAGAUAGCUAGCAUCUAGGAUAAUAACAGGGUUUCAAAACUUUUCAAAUAUCGAUAAAAAACUGUGUGCUUGGUCAUAGUUAAGAUCAACUCAGUUAAAAUUGCAUAUGUGAAUGUGUAAAAUUCAAUCUUUGUGCAUAUACCAUAGGGACCAUUAGCACUCAAUAUUCAAUGAUAUAACUCAAAACAUGCAUCUCUCACAAGAAGUAAUGUUUUCAGCCAUUAACGUAAAACCUGAAGAGGAUAGAACUAUUAUGUUUCGAGUCACUUUCGUUUAACCAAAAACUAAUUAGGUCUCAUAGCUAGAAUACCAGCAUGAUGAAGAUGCCAAGGUGCAUUUGAGCAGCAGAGCAGUGAACUCCAGAUGCAAUGAACACCCAAAGUGAUAAUUGUAGAAAUAUAAUCCAUGUUACUUGAAGCAUUUUUCUCCUUAUGUGCAUAAACUAAAUGUCUAUUUAAAAGAGCUCUUACUUUGCUUUAUUGAAGGAUAUAGAUUGUGUCUCAUGUAUAUCGAUCUUUUUUUUUCUUCAUCACAUUGCUUAAUGAGCAUGCACCUUUGUUGUAUAGUCCAAUGGACUAAUUACAUUUUAUUUUUAGUUACAUUCAUGAAAUAUGUAGGAACCUCUAUGCAAUACUCUGAACAAGAAACAUGACAAGAAGUAUGUUCCAAUUUUAUAUGCUAAUUUUAUUGUUCCUUAUGUGGGAUAGAUGGGGUUGGAAGAAUUGUUGGACUGCUAAUCGAUCAGAGGAAGGCCCCAUCAAAGUGGAUGUCUAACCUGUUACUAGAGCUCUUUAAUUUGAUGAUGUAAACUCAGGUUGUCUGAGAGGGAUUUCCCCUUAGUGUUUGUUUGUUUCGUAUCAAAAAAAAGAGUGAAUGUCUAACGCGGACCAAACAAAAGUGGAGGUGUCAUCAUGCAUCUGGGAAUCAUACACCUGCUAAAUUUAUGCUUCGAAUUUCCAGUAUUUUUCCGUGUCUCAACAAUUGUAAAGUUCAUUCGUAUCAAAAAAACAAUUUGUAAAGUUCAUUCUUCAUAGAGUUGUGAGCAGCAUAUUGUAUCAUGAGGAAUUGAUGGGCUCGGAUGCAUAAUGAUUUACGUUUGCAGGAGCCAGGAGAGUUUGGUAUGCCGUUGGAACUUGGAAACCAUGUAGGUAACCAGUUUUGUUGGACAAAGAGGAUGACAAACUCUUAUUUGAAAUGGAAAGCUUUGGUAAACUAUUCAAACCAUGAGAUAUCAAUGUAGCACAAGACUCAUUUAUAUAUCCGACUUUGCCGUGUGUAGUUUGUAUAUAGAUUAUAUCCUUGCUAUGAGGAAAAAAAAAUAUAUAUCCGGCGUAAUUGGGAUAGAAAACGAUCCCCGCGCGGGAAUACCAGCUAGUACAUGGACUAAUCCUUAUAUGAACAAUUUCUAUUCGGAAAUCUAUUACAUGUAAAGCUUCAGACAUGGCAUAAUUCUAGUAACCGAAGAAGUGGCGUCUUAUAUUUAUCUGAAGCUCGUCAGGCAAAUUUUCCAAAAUACGUUCUUCAUUUACAUCCGUGGCAGAAUAUUGUUCGGCAUUUCUCACUUGCCUUCUAAACUCUUCAGGCAAGUUUCUGUACCUCAUCCACGCCUCAACAUCACGCCUCCUCAUCAACAUAUCAGACCUCCUAAAAAACCAAAAGAAUGAGAAAGGCUGAGAUGUAUAUAGAUUCUUACUAUCAGUAACCUCUUUCUCUAACAAAAAAAACUCUAGAAGAAAGAAAGUGGUAAUAAAGUCACGAUCAAACAAUAAAAAUGUGGUCAGCAUAUAGAUUCUUACUUUCAGUAACCCCUUUCUCUCAAUUAAAAAAAAAACUCUAGAAGAAAGAGAAUGGUAAUAAAGUCAAGAUCAAACAAUAAGAGUUAAGAAACAGAUUGGACAAAAAAAAAUAAAAAUAAAAAUUAAGUACCUUUGUCCAAGAGACUGGAGAAAAUUUUGCAUGUUUCCGAUCAGAAGAGCAAGGAGGAAGAGUCCCAGUCCAAUAAUUACCAUCGUAAAGAUAAUUUCACCAUUGUUAUAGCUUGGAGUUAGAUUUCCUCCCAAAGUGCUGAUUUGCUUAAUAAAUCACAGGAGAUAAUAUGUCAGCAUAAAGGUGUAACUUAUUUAUGAAAUCAUAAUAAAAUAAAGGGAAGUUAUCAGCAAUUAGAAUGUAAGGUACCUGAAACCCCCAAAACAAUGAGUAUAGAUAUUUAGUAAUGAUAUGUCCCGUAGUGAUAUUGAUAAUUGGCGCAUAGAUUCCAUAUGAGAAGUCUCCAUUGGGACUAAAACAAAGAGCAGCCUUCUCAUUUAGUCUCCGUUUAGUAAUUAACUCAUCCAGGGAAAGAUAACGAGCAUGCCAACAAUCUAUUAAGUUCGGGCAUGACUGCAUAUUAGAAUUGUGGCAGGCGUCUUGAAGACAUUGGUUAACCCUCUGGAACAAGAAAAAAAAUACAAAUGUUCUCAGUGGCAUAGCCAGAAACUAUCACUAGAAGGGUCAAAAUUUAAACAAUAAUACUAUUGCCUGUUAAAAAAAAUUAAAAAAUUAAAAAACUAUUGAAUGACAUAAAAAUGUAUGAAUUAUUACAUCAAUAAUUAAAAAGGACAAAAAGUAGGUUUUCCUAAAGCAAUUAUAAUUGUUCACGACAAUUACUCAUAUUUUGAAAUAUUUUCAUGAUGGUUUCACCGUCAAAUAUAUCUUUCUCAAUAUAUGUAAUCAUGAACAUGUCUCCCAUUCGGUUUCGCAAAUCACUUAUAUAACCGUCAUGGCAAAAAAUGCUCUUUCUACAGUGACAAUUGCAACUGGAAGAAUCAGUGUCAAUGUUAUGAGCAAGUAAACUAACGGAUCAACCUGGUUUUUCUGUUUCAACAAUUUUUUCUCGAAGCUCACUAAUUUCUUUCAUUUUUUUCCAAAGUACAUUCAUUGGAUCUAUCUCUAUUCUGAAGUACAGCGACAAUUGCAACUGGAAGAAUCAGUGUCAAUGUUAUGAGCAAGUAAACUAACGGAUAAACUUGGUUUUUCUGUUUCAACCAUUUUUUCUCGAAGCUCACUAAUUUCGGUCAUUUUUUUCCGAAGUACCUUCAUUGGAUCUAUUUCUUAUUUGAAUAGCUUGAGAUGCUGUCAACUGAUCCGUUGCUUUCUUUACAAUAUUUUUGAGAAAAUUUUCAUAAUUUCAAAUNNNNNNNNNNNNNNNNNNNNUUCAUAAUUUCAAAUAUUAAUUCUAAAGGUUUUGACUUGUUGUUUGUAGGGAGAAAUGUUUAAAGAACAAAAAAAGGAAUUACAGUUGAGAAGAAUUUAAAGAGCAUGAUAAGAGACAAAUAAAUUGUAGAAGCUUGAAUUUAUAUAGACGCAAGGUAAAUCAUGAAUCGAUUAGGAAGACAAAAAUGAAUAAUAAAUCUGUCCAAAUAUGAGAUGAAAGCAAACUUCUUUCCGAAAACUAUUUUCUUACUCCUAUAUUGAUUAGUAAAAAACAUGGGGUUAGAACUUAAAAGCUUUUCUGUCGACAAGGGUGGAGUAGUCUUGUCCAAACCAAGACAAGAUUUGGAAGGAGAUUACAAAUAUUUAAGACAAGUCUUGUCCAUAAGGGUCAAAUCUUGUUUCAAAGUGUAAUAUAUAUAUAUGUUGCCCCAACCAAUAGAAAGUUAGCUUAAAAUGUUAGAGGGUUCAAUUGAACCCUCUCGCCCCAUUGUGCCUACGCCCCUGAAUGUUCUAUUAAUUUGUUUUGACUUUAUCAUAAUUAAUUGCAUCAUAAAUUUCUUGUGAUUAUUGACUUUGGUAUAUAUUUAUAUAUUAUACUCAUUAGGUUUUUUUUUUUUUGAUCAAAUGCUCAUUAGGUAUUUAGUAAAAAUUCUGAUAUUUCUUUAAAAUAAAAAUAAAAAUUCCAAUAAAUAUGAAACAAAUAAAAAGAUAUACAAUUUAAAGACGACGUAAACCUUGUUAGUUGACUCAUAUUUAAAUUAUGGCAAUUUGUGUAAUUCUUUUGAAAAAAAAAAAAAAGAAAUCUAAUAUUUGAUCCUAGUUGGCAAUAAUUGGGUGUAAUUUAAAACAAUUUUAUGAGUGAGUUUAAUAUAAAAUGUGAUUUGAAUAUUAAGUGUAAAAUGAAAUGCCUCAUCAAACAAAUACGGGGAAAUAUGCAUCAUUAGGUUAGAUAAAAUGAAAUCUCCACACACCUGUAAGCCAAAGAGGUACCACCAUGACCCAAUGACAUGGGCAACCAGCAAAAAACUGAGUGUGUUUACAAUGAAAUUCGUCCAAAUUGACCCGAAUACAAAGAAUCCAUUCAAUGAUCGACCAGCAAGAAGGGACAAAACCCUAUACACCCUAGGAAAGUAUUGAAGAAAUAUUGCCAGGUGUAGAAGAUUCUUGGUCUCAUUUGUUCGUAGAGAAAAUCUUCCGUGCAACAGCCGCACCAGCUGACAUGUGCGACCAGCCGACCAACAAGUGCCUUGAUUUUUUCCACGCCAGCAAACUACGAAAAAGGCUCCAAGUUUAAAGUUGAAAUUUCAUUAUCCCGCCGGAAGCCAGAGUUAUAUUUAAAUUAGGAUUUCUAGGUGGUUAUUCUAAUCCAGGGAAGAACAAACGCCUCACUUUUCAGAUUACGGUCUCCUCAUUCCUCCCACUCACUUUUCUCCCACCGAUACUGAUAAUUCAUCAUCUCAUUUCCUACCGUUUCCAAAUUCAUGAACACAGAUCUUUCUAGACCCGAUUCAUGAACAUAGAUCAUGCUCGACCCGAUUCACGAACAGAGAUCUUUCUCAACCCGUUUAGUUCAUUCUCAUCGGUCAGGUAUUAUCUUUCUAUGCUGAAAUUAUGUGGCACCUCUUAUCUUCAAUCUUUUAUUCUUUGUGAGUGUAUCGUGUGGAUGGGAUGGACUGGAGAGAUAGAUAAUAGUUGAAAAGAAGACCAUGGGGAUGAGUUGGUUUUAGUCUCCAAAUUGAGGUUUAGGAGGUGGGUCAUUUUCUUGGAAUUCCAAUUUUUUGAGGUUUGGGAGGUGGUUUUUUUUGGGUUUCAAUCUGGACAUCUUACAUGCUUUGCCAUGGAAAUAGUACAUGCUUUGUUGUAUAUAGGAAUGAAUGAUGUGAACCCACCUGGAUUACUAGUCUGAUAGUCUCCGUUUGCAUAGACUUUUCUUAAUUCAAUUUUAGAUGCACACAGUUCUUUUUCCUGGAGCUUGCUUUCAGGUACUUGGAUAUUUCACACUUUCUCUAUGUUGGUCUUUUCCCUUUCAUGUAUUUUUCAGUUUGUUAGUUAUAGGAAGUGAUCAAGCACAUUCUUUGUCAUGGCUAUUUGGGAGGUUAACAGUGUCUCACUGUCUCUAUUCUCUAAAUUAGUUAAAGAUGCUUUUUGUUCAGAGCUUUUUAUUGUGUCUUUAAUUAGACAAAGAUAGUUUCUUUAUAGCAGUAGUGAACAAGGGUUUAAAGUAGAUGAUUUUCUUUUGAGUUUAUUGUUUUGUGCGUGUGUUGCAGUGUUAGAUAUUAGUAGAUAAGCUAAAGGUGAUGACGGAUCAGCCAAAAGCCAAGAGGUACAAAAAUCUCUGCUCACGGUUUACAACUAAUAAUACUCCAUCAAGUGAUAGUGACGAUGAGAUUGAGAUAGGGAGUGGGAGUAGAAAUGUGACUGUGGAUUGGCAUUGUUGACAGUUUUGGUACUCUAUGUGCGUGCAUACAAGGAAUGAAAGCAUUUCGAAGAGAUUGCCGAAGCUACAGAAUUCAAGAGAAUCACUUUAUAUUGUAUCAAUCUAUUAGCUCCGAUCGAUUAGUACUUUAUUAUGAUACAUUGUGGUGUAAUUUUGACACAAGUAAUUUUUCAUUGUGUUAAAUUUAGUUGUUACAAUUAUAAUCAAUCAAAACCUUCAUUUGACAUCUCUUUUUCAUUGUCUUCCAUUUUGUUUCAGUAGAAUGUACCUUGAGUAACAUUAUCAUAUCUUGAUCAGAGGCUUGGUUUCAUCUCUGGAUUUUGUUGCAUUAUUACCUUUUGGUUUGUGUCAAAGAUUAAAGAUAUGGUUAAAAAUUGAGAAAGAAAAAAGCUGAUGGAAAGAUACUUGAAUUUGUGAUGCUUAAACUACUAAGAUAUACUCAAUGAUCGAAUGUAAUCAUCAUAAAAAAAUAUUGUAGCACAGGUUACAUACAAAAGUUCGAUCAAAACAAGCUCUAAACAUGUCUUCGAUUCAGUUCUUAUAAAAUGCUCAUGUUAGUACUACAUCAUGAAACUUGCACACAUGACUUCAGUUCUCAUAAAAUGGUCCUCUUAAUACUGCAUCAAUGAAACCUGCACAAUUUAACUUCUGUAACUAUACUGUAAUUCAGGUUCAAUAUCAUCAACUCAAGCAUAUAAUAUUAAAAUACAGAACUAACCUCACUGAGGUUGUUGUCUAAGUGUAGGAUCAAUAGUCAAAGUCGCAGUUGGUGCAAGAUUCAACCCUGUAGUAUUCUACAAAUAUAGAACUAGUUUAUUUUCAAUAUAGCCAACUAAAAUGUAUGAAUGUACUAAGAUUUCAAAUAUACAUAUACCUGGUUUGAGAAAGGCAUCUGACCAUAACUAACAUGUGAAUGAGGAUGCUCAAAAGGCCAACUUAAAUUUCCCUGAAAGAGAAUGACAUGUAUGAAUAUGUUCAGUCUGUAAUACAUAAAGAAACAUACAUAUAAAGCUUCAAAAUGCAGACCUGAUUACUGAAUGUUGGGGUGUUGGGUACUCCAAACUGAUUACUCACUGUUGGGAUGUUAGGUACUCCAUACUGAUUACAGAAUGUUGGGAUGUUAGGUACUACAAACCGAUGAUUAUUGAAUGUAGACACAUCAGUUGGAGCUUUUGGAUCAUUAUUUUCUUGGUUUUCUUGUUCUGCAUCAGUAAAAAUUUCAGCUAUACAAAGUACACAAAACAAGAACUAUCAAUAUAAGCUUAUUUAAGAACUAUAUAAAAUAUGUAUGUACCUUUUGUUCUCUUCUUCCUUUGAUUUGUCUCCAUCACAUCUUUGAUUCUACUAUUUUUCAUUCCCUUAGUCUUUGCAUUUGGUGGGUUCAAAACUAGUGUCUCAUUACUAGAAAUGGUAGAGCCAGACUCAGCACCAAAAUUCUUCAGAUUUUCCAACACGUAAAGGGUGUCCUUGUCUUUUUCAAGACGCUUCAUUGCCUCUGUUAACAAAUGCUUGACAAUUUUAGUACCUAAACUAGUUAAUGAGGCUAUGUCAUACACAUUAUUUCCUUCAUGCAUCAAUUCGCUGAGGCGCAACACUCUAGCAGUCUUUAAAUUCUCACUUGUUCCUACACUUGUGUCACUGCUGACCACUACCGUACCCCUUUCUUUGCCUCUUUAGUCCACCUCUUCAAUAUAUACUGAGUUGGUAAAGUUGUGAUAUUAUUUGUAUCAAACACCUUCAAAGCAUGACGACACAAGAUCCCAACAGACUUAAAUGACUUACAAGAACAAGAUAUGCUCAAGGAUGUAGAGUUGUAUUCAAUCUUGUGCACACUUUCACGACCAUCUUCAAUUGCUUCAUAUACAUAAACUUGAUCUUUACUGGAAACUUCUUUUAGUCUAACUCCCAUACAACUAUAGAAUUCUGUUUCAAAAAACUGAAAAAUUUUGUUAGUAUAAACCUUGGCAGCACUGCUUAACAUCUUAGUCCAUACUUUUGGACGACGUGCACCAUUUUUGCUACGGUAGUCAUCUUCUAACUCUGUUAAACGCAACUCUUCAAUCUUUUUCUUAUAGUGAUGAACAAAUUUAAUAAGCUCCAUUGUGUGUGUAGAAAUUCCUUGGAACACAUUGUUUGUACUUUCACUCCUUUGAGUAGAUCUAAUCCUUGCCGAAAAAGUGUCCAAAUUAAAUGCUGCACACCACUUCUGUCGGAGUGAAUACAACUUUGCUAGCCAAGGAUUAUUUCCGAGAUUAUAUCUACCAAUCAAGUUAUCCCAUAAAACCUGAAAUUCAAUUUCAGAACAGCACCCAUGUAAACAAUGGUUGAAUUGCUUCUUGAACUCUGGAUUUCCAAGAUAACUACCAAUUUUCUUUCGGCAUUCUUGCCAAUAUGCCAAGUGCACAAUCAAUGGGAUGCACCUGGAAACACUAUUUUAACUGCCUUUGCCAUUGCUUUAUCUUCAUUUGUGAAAAUAGUUUUUGGUGCUUUAUUUCCCAUCGACUCCAAAAAGGAUUCGAACAACCAAACAAAAGACUCUGUAGUCUCAUCUAAUAGAAAUGCACAUCCAAACACAACAUUUCUCCAAUGAUGAUUAACUCCAACUAUUGGAGCACAAAUCAGAUCAUACUUGUUUGUACGAAAUGUUGUAUCAAAGCAUAUAACAUCACCAAAACAAUCAUAAUCUGACUUUGCUCUACCAUCCCUCCAAAAGAAGUUUAUCAUUCAGCUAUAUUGGUCCAAUUGCAUUGAAUAGAAAAAGUUAGGGUCCUCACCUUGUUUGUGCUUAAAGUGAUUCAGCAAGCUUUGUGCAUCACCUGCUUCCACCAUUUCAUUCUUUUUUCUUUGCAAGUAGUUGUAGACGUCUUUCUUAGUGCACCCAACAUUUUCUGAACCACCCACUUCAUUUGCUAUGUAAAAAAAUGCUUUUGUUGCUCCUAUUCUUGCAACUUUCAUGGAAGUAAAAACUUGUCCACAAGCAUCUGUUACUUUUCGCCCAGAUCUCAAAAAUUGCCUUUCUUCAGGGUUUGCAAGCUCAUGGUUAUGAUCUGAAUUGAUAUGUGAUAUUGUCCAUAUCCCAUCUUUCACAAUAAACGAUAUCAUAGCCUUGCAACCGACUCUUGUUUCCAACUUCCUAUGUUUGGUUGGUUCAAACACAUCUUGGUCUUGUGCAAACCCUUCCUUUGAACAUACAAACUCUCGUAACCGGAUGUUAUUUGAUGCAUCUCUUCUAAUAUGUGACUUACGAACACUGAAACCCUUCCUCAAAGCAUAGGUAUUAUAUAAAUUGUAAGCCUCCUCAUCUGAGUGUACUUGAGUUCCCACUUUGAGUUCUUCAUCGUCUUCAAUUAUUUCCUCCAUUCUUUCACAAGCCAAUUUAACUCUGUAAAACACAAAAAAGUUUAAGCAAAUUUUUGGUCAAUUGCAUAGGACUUUCAAGUAUCAAUGAUCAUUAGUUAAUGAGAAAAUCUAUUAGAUUAGAAAAACCAAUCGUACAAACACCAAAUCACACAGUGAUUGAAUAAUCAAAAUCUAAAGGAUCAGUUUAAGUAUCAGUUUAUAUACAACCACUUUUAAGUAUUGGUUUAUAUACAACGUCUUCAUUACUCAUCAAUUCUUUGUGUCAAGUUCACACAGAGGAUCAUGACAAAUCCAAAACAAUCGAACCCAAAUACUCAUAAGAAAAGCAAAGAAAUACUAACCUGAAUCAAAUUGCUUAUCGAGAUGAUCUUGUAUUGAUUAAAUUGAGCAAUCAUGAGAACGAGCUAACAGGUCGAGAAAGACUGGUUUUGGUGAAUCUGAAAAUUGAUUAUCAGUAAUGAGGAGACCCUAAUCUGAAAAUUGAGUGAGAGGAACAAGAAGUCGUCCACUGUUUGUUCUUCCCCAGAUUAGAAAAACACCUAGAAAUCCUAAUUUAGCUAAAACUCGGCGGGAUAAUGAAAUUUCAACUUUAAACUUGGAGCCUUUUUCGUAGUUUGCUGGCGUGGAAAAAAAUCAAGACGUAGCACUUGUUGGUUGGCUGGUCGCACAUGCCAGCUGGUGCGGCUGUUGCACGGAAGAUUUUCUCUUGUUUGUAACGAUCGCCGAACAAUCGACAACACUAUUAUCUGAACAAGAAUUUAAACCAAAAACAAGAAUAAAUCAAAUCUAAAAACCCGUCAUAUGGGGUAUCUGUAGAAAAAAAAAAAAUUAAUGACAUACUUGUAAUAAAAACAGUUAUGACUUGUAAUCUUAGUCUAUAAAGUUGGACGCACCGACUUGUAAUUGACAUUUGUAGAAUGAUCAUAUUUAAACAAUUACACAUAAGCAUAUCAAACCAAUUCAAAGUGGACAUGAGAGAAAGAGCUUACCUGAGGAACCGGUAAUACAAUUAUUAGGUCGAUUAAAAAGUUUCCAUGGAGAUAAUUUAGAGCGAUUUUUUUUGGUUGGUCUACUAUUUCUCCUGGACCAACCAUUCUAGACCUAGGAACUUCAUAAGCCAGCCUAAACUGCCAUGCAUAAGCAAUAAAAAUUUAGAAAGGCUCAAACAGACAAGAAAAAGAAAAAAACAACAAUUUAUUUAAGAUACCAAUUGAAUAAUACAGAUUUAGAAUGACAUUUUUAAACAGAAUAUGUCAUGCACUUACUUGGAUAAGCAUGUGUAACAGAUAUAUAGUCUGUCACAGUCCGUAAAAACACCAGUAGUAUGGUUUUAUGCCAGUCCAUAAAUAUGCACUUCUGAUCCUGCAUUUUAAGAAUACAGAUACCCCUCUAUUAAAAAAAGAAUAGAACGGGAAACAAAUUUACAUACUAAAGCAAUUUUCGAACGGCUGUUAUUUUUUCUUUUUCUUUUUAAUAAGAAGAAGAAAUUUCUGCUUCAAGAAUAAUGCAGUCUCAAAAUUUAAUGCAAACAUAUUUUAAAGUGAUGACAUCAAGUGAGAGAAAAACAAAGAUAUAGAAAGAGAGAAAGAAAAAAUAGAUUGUUCCGCGCUCGCAGAGGCCGCCGGAAUGGUAGCUUCUAGCAGAGGCAACCGGAAUCAAUAGGAGGAUCGGAUACCGUUGUGGGUUUUCGGGUCAAGGAACAAGGCCGAUUAGUUUGAGUUUUUCUACACCUUGUGAUAUCUCGAUAUUUCUAUUUCAAAUAAGGAAGAUUGAGAGAGAAAAUCGAGGGUUCAAGGAGGAGAGCAGAGAGCAUAUUGGGGAAGAAGAAGAUGAGAUGAUGAGGAAGAUGGAGAUCACGCGCCGUGAAAAGAAACGUUUGUGAUCCCUCACUGGGUCAACUGAAGAACCUUCGGCCGAAUAGCUGUUUCUUCUUCAACACCCUAUUUCAAUCGAAUUUGGUCGGCGCCUUUGCAGAUUUACACUCUAACACAGUGGAUUUGAGUUUUUUUGGCACCAAAUUUUGUUAGCGCGUAUAGUACAUGCGCCGUUUAGGAAAGAAGAAGACGCAUCAGAAGAUACCGAUGCCGAAGCCUCACCCUGUGAAUGGAAGAAUCUCCGACGUGCAAGAGAGAGAAAACAAGAUAAAGAUAAAAUACCAUUUCUCUCUCUCUCGUCCCCACUCCCCCAAGUGUCCAAACCCCAACUCCCCAAGUGUCCAAAUUAAUCCCUAACUCCCCAAGUACCAACCAUAGCCAGGCCGGACCUGAGAUUUCAAGGUCUGAGAUGAGUUUUAAGAAUGGUGUCCUCUAAUGACCGGAAAGCUUCACCUUGAGCAGAGGAGUUUGAGGAGACCAGUAAUGAGGAAUAAAACUGGCAUAAUGGUUUAGAAGUUUGGGAGCAAAACCCAGUUUUUAGAGACGGAGGGGCCCACUAACUUAACAGUGAGGAGAGGAAAAAAGAAGAAGUUAAAAGAUAAACAAGUGGUUAACCCUUCUCUCCUCUUCUAAACCACAAAAAUCCAGUUUUUAUUAUCAUCGACAACCAUCACUGCUCAUCAUCAUCCCCGUUUCAAACUUCUCUCUCUCCCUUCUCUUCUCUUCUAAACCCAACCAUUUCCUCUGUUUUUCAUUUCAAAAAACCAAAACCCAAACAAUUAUAGCUUUAAGCUUUAGUUUCCAUGGCUAGCAGACUUUUCUAAUCCCUCCUGCUCAAGGCAGCUACCGGAUUUUGGUGCCCCCAGAUUUUUGGGGCCUGAGGCAGCCGCCUCGUCGGCCUCACCUCAGGUUCGGGCCCAAGGAAGAAAAUUUCGGUGAUUACGGAAAUUUUGACCCUCCAAAAUAUGGAAAUUUCGACGGAAAUUUCGGGGAAAUAUCGAUUGCAGUAAAAAAAUUGAGAAAAUUGACGGAAAUUUGAAGAAAAACAAGGAAAUUUUAAACCAAACUUUAAGAGAUGUUUGUUUUCUAUAUUAUGUACUAUAUUUGAAAUGAAAACCUUGAAUAAACAUCGAUCUAUAAGGAGUUGUAGUAAGUUAAGGUGAAAAAGUUAGUGCUGAACCGUUAAUAAUUCUUAGAAGUUUACUUUAAACAUUUUUUUUUUAUGGCUGGAAACCCAAAGGAGGCUAGGUCAUCACGCUUUAUAUACAUAUGAUAUAUUUCACAUGGAAUUACAUGAGUACUUUAAAACCACGUAGAAGACCUAUGAUGUACAAAAUUUUCAUUAUCUUUAUCGUCUCUCUGUGUAGAGCCUUCAGUAUAUUGUGAAGAAUAGUCAUUAAAUAAUACCUCACCUUUAUAGAUAUAUUAAAAAUGAAUUAAGAAGUGUAGGUAAAAAAUCUUUUUUAUGGAAGUGUAGGUAAAAAAAUUAGUUGGAGAUUAGACAUUUACCUAAUUUUUUACUUUUCAAAUUAAAAAAACCAAUAUAUAUUAUAAAGAUACUAUAAUAAACAAGUUAAAUGGUUAGUAGGGUUGGUUAAGUUGUUAAUCUUGUACCAACCCGACCCAGGCUCGACUCACCUUCGCAGCAAAAUUCAAAGUCAAACAUUUCGGCAGGAAAGUAAGUUUUGCAGUGUUCAAAGUCAGGGGAAACAAUCAUUCAAAUUUGGGCGGGAAAGUGGGAAACCAUUUCAGCUUCGACUUUUCGGUGGGAUUUCAAAGUUUCGGCGAUAUUUUCGAAAUAUCGCGAUAUAUCGGAAAAUAUCGAUUAUUUCGGACGAAAAAUUCUGAGAAUGAAAAUAUAUAUCACCGUGUGAUAAAAACGAAAUUUUCGGCGAUAUUUCGACGAAAAUUUCGAUUUUUUCUUCCUUGUUCGGGCCUGACCAUAGCACAAUCGUUGUCUGCUAUUGUUGGGUCGCCGAUAUAGUUUUCUUAUUGGAAACUAUGCACUUUAUGUUAAUGCCUAGAGAACCCUAUUCCUCCAAAAAAGAAGAAGCCGGUGUCUAACAAGAAGCUGAAGAAAGAGAGGCUGAAGCAAGGCGUCUCUGCUCCAGCAGGCGAGUAAAUAUGGAAGAAAGACCGCAACUCUGCAUGCAUGUUGAGCUCACAUAUGUUGAGAGUUUGUUCUUUCAUUUCCCUUAAUACUAGAUGGAAUUGGACUUAGUAAUUGGAACCCUGUAUUGAUCUAGCAACCAGGGAGUGAGAAUGUUGUUCCUAAGACAGUUUUUAUCUUCAAAUUUUCUUUCUUAAACAAGUAAUAAUCAGACCUCAGAACUUAGAAUGAGUUACUUUGCCAAAUAAAAUAAAAAAUAAAAAAACAUAACAGAAAGAAAGGGAAGAAAAAGAAAAAGAAUAAAAAGAAAUAUUCUGAACCAUCAAUACUUUGUCUCUGUUCCUCAUGUGCUAGAAUAAACGAAAACAUCUAACUGUUUGUGAAAGAAAAAGAAAAAAAAACAUGUAAACUAAGACUAAUGCAAAAAGAAGGAAAAUAUACCUCAUGUGAAUAUAGCAGAAAGAAAUGUAGUGGAUCUACAAAAACCGCGACCAUGCAAGAUACUACAAAAAACUUGUUUUAUCUUCAAACAACUUUGUUAUCAGGUUCACAAUCCCGAUAACAUAGGGAUGCAAAAAAAAACAUGUUCCUUUAAACAAACUCAACAAAUUCUUUUUGUAUGACAUAUUUGUCUAUCGCUAAAUAUGAAAUGAGUGAAAUGUCGAUGAGGAUGAUUGUGAAGUUGUUUGGAUUUAAAUGUAUAAUGAGGUACGGAUCGGAGAGAUGGGAGAAUGGGAAGUUCGAUAUAUGUAUUAGAUGAGUGAACUCAAUGAGGAUGAAGUUGUGAGAUUUAUGAUAUGGGAAGAUCGAUGCCUUAUAUAAAGAAGAGGACUAGAGGAGUGAUGUUGAUAUCACUGGAAUCAAUAUGUUUGGCCAUGUUUUUAAGAAAUGAUUGUUUUUAGUUAGGGACAGAAAAUUUUCAUGCCUAGUUGUGCAUGUAUUACCUAGAGACACAUUAUAUAUAUGAUGGUGUGCACGGUAAAAAGGCAUAUGAUAACGACUUCAAGGAAAGCAUUCAAAUUUUCUCAAAACUAAAGUAACACUUUAUUCUCCCAUAUUUCUAUCUUCAACUCUCUUUAAUCUUUCAUUCAAUUGGAAGAUUAACAUAAGAGAUGAACCAGUCUUGGUGGACCCAUAAUCACAUCCAAGCUUCACCGAAAUCAAAUCCUCUGUCUUCCUAAGCGAGGAUGGAUCAAGAACAUUAUAUGUAAGGGAUAAUUCAAAUUCAGCACUUUCUGGAAAGCAAUCUGAGAAAUCCCCAUGGGGCUUUUGUUGGGCUUUAUCCUAUUGUCUUUCUUCAAUCUUCAUCUAUUGUUCGUCUUUGUCUUAUACCCAUCUUCUUCCGUUCUCUGAUUCUGUGCAACUUUGAUCUUUAUCUUUGUCUUAAUCUCAUCCUGUAAUAAGUUUUUGACCCACUUUCCCUUUCGAUUUCUUUUUCUCUAUAAAUAUCUCUCUUGAGUCUCAUACACCCAAUCCCAAUUACAGUCAUUCAAUCUCGUCCUUCAUCGGCUCAUGUACAAACAAUGUUUUUUUUAGGAGCCACUCUACCCAGAACCAUCGGUGGUAUACUUUGGAAAAUAAAGUAUGUAAAUCAAUCUGCCACUUGCCCAUUGCAUCACCAAUAAUCGACACACCCAUUGAAAUCGAUUGAACCAGAUUGAAAUACUGAGAUGCAAGAGUGAAUUGAUUUUUCAGAGAAAAGAAAAUAUCAGAUCUAGAAGAAGAAGAAGAUUCGAAUGAAGUUAACAGAGCAAUUGACGUUAGUUCCUGCCAUUUGCUUGCUUGGAAAAAAAAUACAAACGUGUCAACACGAGUGGAUGGUCGUAUGAAUGACGUGGUGCGAGUGCCGCACCUAAGAGUAAGUCCACCCCAAACUCCAAAACUGUGACCCAGACCUUUAGCCAUCUCAAAUAAAGACUCAGACAAAAAAAAACCAAAUCCACCUAUAGAAAAAAAUGAUAACCCAAUCUUUAUUAGAUCAAGACCUGAGUUAGACUCAUAACCAGGCAGAAAAAUGAAGGCCCGGGCCUUCCCUCUCCAGCUCAGCCCACUUGCAUGGGUUUGCAUGACGUCAGCCAUGUUAGAAGACUUGGAGAGAUGAAAGAAGACGCGUCUUGAUGUGGGUGAAGAACACAGACCAAUUGUUGAUGAAAGAGGACGCGCGGGGAACUCAUUUUGUCGCCAUGCGGGGUUAGUGGAUGGGCCACAUGCACGUUCCAAACCUUCACACACCCAUUUAUGUGAAUCUGAUGGUAUAUAUUUAACAACCAAAUAUUUUUAUUACAGAAAUAAAUAGGAAUUAUAAGUUAUAGUUUUAUUUUUUUGGAAUUUUAAUUUCUUCAACAUCCCACAAAAAAAAAAUUGUGCAUUUUAGAUCCAAUUUUUCAUAUCCCUAGCAUUGCUAUUUAUUUAUAAAAUUUUCAUAAAUUUGUCAUAUUAAAUAAUUCCGUGGAAUAAAUAUUUUUAAUAAAUAUUAAACAGUCACUGUCACGUGGUGACCCAAAAACUAAAAUCAUGGGUGGAAACUACAGCUCAAAAUCACUGCCACGUGGCGACCUAGGUCUCGCCUAAGACCCAGACCUUCCCAACGAAGACCUAGAAGGUGGACUUGUUCUAAGAUGACACGGUGUGAGUGCCCCACGCAAGAAUUGCUCCCUGGACCGUGACCACGUGUUUUGGAUAGGGUAAUGCACUACAAAAAAUAUGCGUAAAAGCGACAGUUUUUUCCCCACAUUUUCAGUUUUCGUGGGAGUAUAGUACUGAAUAGUGUCAACGUUUGAAAUCUUUCGAACUCUCCCACGCAAGUCGCAACUUCGAAUUCGUGGAGUAUAAAACAAUAAAAAAUUGUUCUGUAUGGGUAUUUAAUUCUGACACUCUAUUUUUUUUUCCAGUUUAUAAUUCUAAAUUCAGUAAACACCACGCUUUUAACAAUUAGUGGGAAGUAAAUAAUAAAAUAUUAUGAUAGUGUGGAAUUAUGAUGUUGAAACGAUGUAAUUAUCAUGACAUUUUAGUUUCUUACCCGUUUUUAGUAAUUAAUUCAUUUGAAUGUCCCACAAAUAUGCACAAAACGUGAGAACUUAUCUGUACAAGUACAACUGUUGNNNNNNNNNNNNNNNNNNNNNNNNNNNNNNNNNNNNNNNNNNNNNNNNNNNNNNNNNNNNNNNNNNNNNNNNNNNNNNNNNNNNNNNNNNNNNNNNNNNNNNNNNNNNNNNNNNNNNNNNNNNNNNNNNNNNNNNNNNNNNNNNNNNNNNNNNNNNNNNNNNNNNNNNNNNNNNNNNNNNNNNNNNNNNNNNNNNNNNNNNNNNNNNNNNNNNNNNNNNNNNNNNNNNNNNNNNNNNNNNNNNNNNNNNNNNNNNNNNNNNNNNNNNNNNNNNNNNNNNNNNNNNNNNNNNNNNNNNNNNNAUCUAUAAACAAGAUAAACAAGAAAUGGAGUAAAAAUUUCAACAAAGAUUAAUUCCUGGUACACUUUCAUCUUUCUUAACAUCUUAUGGCAUUGAUAUUGACUGGAAUAGCUCACAAAUAAUUUGCAGAUUGCAACUCUAGUUAAAUCCAAUUUGUCAAUACUGCACUUUAAUGCAUCAGGACUCGAGCCUAGUUGUUAUAUAUACUUCUAUAGUAAAGCUAGUAUUAGUAUAUGUGAACAAAGUUCAAAUCUGUGCGUAAGAAUGAUCCUUUCUAAGUUUCUCAUCUGUAUUAUUUGAAUGUCUGCAGUUUGCGAUACCAUUUCCACCCUGUGACAGGUGGAUGCUGAAGUUUUUAGUAAUCCAGCAAUGAUUUUGAAGAUGAAAUUGACCAAUCUUCCAUGGAGACUAUAAAUCAUUCAGAAAGGGUCCCUAAAAUGUAAAAUUGUUUAGAAUUACAUAUGAAAGCUUGUAGUGCCUUUGAUUCCAUGACUGAAAUUUACAGGGUUAGCAUUUCUGGCUUACUAAAGCUUGUACUGGCUCCCACCAUAUAUGCCAAGAUGCUUAGAAGAUUUCUGCCAAUCUCUUUAUUUUGGCGUAUGUAAGGAUCAAAAACUGACAUGAUUGCAACCUAAGAGCUAUAAAAUUUGAUCAAAAUUUUCUCCAAUUCAGUCAUAUAUCAUGCUAGUCAAGUUCAUCAUGUUGUUUGGAAACAAUGUGACUUAUCAUGCGAAUUUCACGUCACUUAUCACACAGAAACGCUCUUACCAACCUCUCCGUAACCGAGUUUGGUUGAUUCUUUCAUACGUUAAACUCUCACACAGAUGAGACGUUACACAUAAAAAUUUGAAAACGUUUGAUUCCUGUUGAUACGGCUCCCCAUAAGGAAGAUUAAGGGUAAAAAAGGUUGACCGUUUUUAUCGGUACCCAAAAGUUACUCGAAAUAUGUGAUUUUUCAACCAUAGCCGUAUUUCACUAUUCCGAUCACAUCUUAUUUACGAGAUUUUUGCUUCCUUUGUACAGUUGGUUUACAAAAUUGUACACUUGCAUAUAACCUACUAAACAAGUUAUAUCACAUUAGUAGACACGUUGUGAUUUCGAUGACUAAAAUUCUCAAAAUGAAAAUUCCACAGUCUGAUAUGAUCAUUAUAGUAAACCAUGUCUAUGGUAUAAAAUUCAACUCUAUUCGGUAGCGUUCGGGGCUCGAUCGAAGCGGUCAACCAUAAUAUAUCGUCACUUAUCACACGGAAACGCUCUUACCUACCUCUCCACGACCUAAUUUGGUCAAUUCUUCCACACGUUAAACUCUCACAUAGAUGAAACGUAACCACACAUAAAAAUUUGGAGACGUUUAACUCUCGUUGAUAGGGCUCCCUAUAGGGAAGAUUAAGCGUAAAAAAGGUUAACUGCUUUUAUCGGCACCCAAACGUUAACCGAAAUAUGUGAUUUUUCAACCAUAGUAGCUAAACACUAUUUUGAUCACAUCUUAUUUCACGAGAAUUUUGAAAAUUUUACUUCCUUUAUGUAGUUGGUUUAAAAAGUUGUACACUUGCAUAUAACCUAUUAAAUAAGUUAUACUAUAUUAGUAGACACGUUGUGAUUCCGAUAACUUAAAAUCACAAAAUGAAAAUUCCACCGUCUGAUAUGAUCAUUAUAGUAAAUCAUGUCUAUGAUAUAAAAUUCAACUUGAUUCGGCAACGUUCGUGGCUCGAUCGAAGCGGUCAACCCUAAUAUAUCGUCACUUAUCACACGGAAACGCUCUUACCUACCUCUUUGUGACCUAGUUUGGUUGAUUCUUUCACACAUUAAACUCUCACAUAGAUGAGACGUAACCACAUAUGUAAAAAUUUGGAGACGUUUACCUCCCGAAAAUAGGGCUCCUUAUAGGGAAGAUUAAACGUAAAAAAUGUUACUGUUUUUAUCGGCACCCAAACGUUACCCGAAAUACGUGAUUUUUCAACCAUAGCUAUAUUUCACUAUUUUGAUCACAUCUUAUUUCACGAGAUUUUUGAAAAUUUUGCUUCUUUUGUGUAGUUGGUUUACAAAGUUGUACACUUGUAUAUAACCUAUUAAAUAAGUUAUACUAUAUUAGUAGACACGUUGUAAUUCCAAUGACUAAAAAUCAUAAAAUGAAAAUUCCACCGUCUGAUAUGAUCAUUAUAGUAAAACAUGUUUAUGAUAUAAAAUUCAACUUGAUUCAGCAACGUUCGGGGCUCGAUCGAAGCAGUCAACCCUAUUAUAUCGUCACUUAUCACACGAAAACACUCUUACCUACCUCUUUGUGACCUAGUUUGGUCGAUUACUCCACACGUUAAACUCUCACAUAGAUGAGACGUAACCACACAUAAAAAUUUGGAGACGUUUACCUCCCGAAGAUAGGGCUCCCAUAGGGAAGCAUAAACGUAAAAAGAGUUGACCGCUUAUAUUGGACUCGGACUUUACCCGAAAUACGUGAUUUUUCAACCAUUGCCGUAUUUGACCAUUCCGAUCACAUCCUAUUUCACGUGAUUUUUGAAAAUUUUGCUUGCACUGUAGAGUUGGUUUAUAAAGUUGUACACUUGUAUAUAACCUACCAAACAAGUUAUACCACAUUAGUAGGCACGUUGUAAUUCCGAUGACUAAAAAUUACAAAAUGAAAAUUCCACCGUCUGAUAUGAUCAUUAUAGUAAAACAUGUCUAUGAUAUAAAAUUCAACUCGAUUCGCAAUGUUCAGGGCUCGAUCGAAGCGGUCAAUAUCUUAUGACACUACUAGCAGCCUGAUCUUUAUUAGCAUUUUUCAUGGCCACGUUUUUCAUGGCCGAGCUCAUCUCACCCCUGUACUGUUCGUAAAGUUUCCUCCAGUUGUUCAAGCAGUGUUUGGGGACUUGAUUAAUGUCAAAAAUAGGAAGUUUCUUGAUUUCUGAACAAGGAUACAGAGGAAAAUCAGUAUGUUAAAAGUUGAAAUAAAUCAUUUUUUAUCUAAAGUUAUAAUUUGAUGGAAAUUUCAUAACUUUGAAAUACUAAAAGGAUUUGACAUGGGAACAUCACAGAAAGCUAUCAUAACCUUUGACAGAAAUUGGUUCAUGAUCAACAUUAAACAUUAUCUACCAUCAAAUUUUAAAAGAUUUUGGUUGAUUUAUAACAAUCCAUAGAUUCUGCUAAUUCUAUGGAUUGUUUUAAUUCCAUAUGGAGUUUAACAAAUUUUAAUAGAUUGAUUUAUUAGUAUUCUUUUAGACUUUUAUAAGUCCACAGAUUGUUGUAACGGCAAUAAAUAAAAAAAAGUUUCUUAAAACACAAACAAUACAGUAAAAACGAUGAUGACUUGAAACAUAAUGCUCUGAUACAAUAGUAUAUAGGUUACUAGUAUCACAUCAUACAGAGAACUGUAUCAAAUCCAAUCUCUCUGUUUGUGAUCAACUCCCCUAUAAUUGAAUAUUCAAGGAACAAUUUUCCCAACAUAAGCACUCAGAAAAAUAGAUUUUCAUCACCAUCUAAAAGCUAUCUAGCAUUAUUAACCAGAUGCAGACCCAUAAUUCUUCCCACACACAAUUAGCUGCAACUCGUCACAACCAGAAAUUAAAGAAUACCAACACCAGCAAUGGCAUGGAGGACGUUUGCAUCAACACCCUUGAACAAGGACUUAGCACCCACAUUCUUCAAGAUCUGAGUGAAGGCUUCAAAACUCUUGUACUCGACAGCUUCACCAGAGGUCAUUAUCUACGAACAGUGUCAAUUGGGUAGGAAGAUAGACCAGCACCAUUUCUGAUGACCUAGGAGAAGUACUACAAGUCAAAAACAAAAGGAUGAUUAUCAAAAACAAAAUGAUGUCAGCUGGAAUACCUACAAGCCAUAAGAAUCUAGUCGUGGACAAAUAAAGUAAAUAUAAAUACAGCUUCCGCCAACACACUGAAGUUGCAUAUCCUUGGAAUCAAACCACCAAUAUAGGAUAAAUAGAAUUUGCAAGCACAUAAAAGUACAAAGAAUACCAAUCAAAUUACUACAGGCCUUAUGAUAUAAGUGUCACUACAACGCUUAAUAAGAGUUCAAAAAUGAAUGAUCCACUGAUCCAUGAGUGACCACACUAACACUUGAGUAAUACAGGACCUCAAUACUUUCCUACUAAAAUAACCAUUUUAAACAGUAGUAUAAGGGUAUUCAGAAUUUCAGAUAUGAUACAUGAGUAGCAUAUAUUAAGAUCGCAAAUUGAAGAAAACAUAUAUAUCUCUCGUAGUUAGAAGAGAUGGGACAACAGUUGGAUAAUGACAUAACUAAUCUUUGGUUUUCAAAGUUUAUCUGCCCAUCCAUUCAAAACAAACGAAUCAUUAUUAGCCGCUAAACAAAUCACAGAGUCAUUCCUUUUACCCUCAAAGUUAUCAAUGUUGUUCUUGUAACUAGGCACGUGUUGCUACAAACAAUUCCCCUUAUACACACCCUGACCUACAGACAUAUAUACCAAUAUCCAACACUCAAACAAUUCCCCUUAUACACCCUGACCUACAGGUUUGUCUUUCUCAAGUUCAGACUAUCUUAGCAUACUGGAAAUCAUAUGCCAUCAUUCUGAGAGAAAUUUGUACAGCCUCCUCAAUCUCAAGCUAACUAGCUCUUAUAAUCAAUGCACUCAGUUAUGCGCCCUACGUACUUCUCUCUCUUUUUCCUCUACAAAACUUGAUGCUUUGGCCGUCAACCAUGAAACUGUUUCCAGGAAAGAUAAUGUACUGCAAUCAUCUACUUGUUCGUGCAAACCAUUGAGUUCAGACUUCAGAUACACCAUGUGUAAUGUGGAUUUUUGUGAUAGAGAUAUUUCCCUAAAUUAUUUAUUCUAUUAGUCAAAACCUUGUUAAAAACAUAAACUAGCAGCUUUUAAUGUCUUCCUGUAGACAUCAACCUUAGGUUUCAAAUUCUAGCUUGAUUCGAUUAGUUACACAAUCAACCUAAGCAAGUGUUCGACAUAAUGAUUCUGAAACAAAUGCGACGUACAAUACCAGCACGAACCCCAACAAGAAAUAUGAGAUUAAGAUUCAAAUACGAACAGAAAAGAGAAACAAAGAGCAUGAUUGAUACCUUUCGAGUGAAAUAUGGAUCAUUGGCGAGAACGAUGGUCUCGAAACUGAGUCGUUUGAAUCGUUCGCAGCGGUUGAUUCCUUCGUUUUCAACGGAGGCACCGCCGCCGCUGUAGAUCUUUGACUCGGAAGAACAUCACUCAGAGCCUCAUCGAGCUUUCGACUUGAAGAACAACCUACCGAGGAGAGAACCCAGUGAGCUCUCCUCAGACUCCAUCAAAAUCUCGUGGGAGAGGCCAGAUUUCUUAAUGGAAUUUGUAUUUAUACCUAGCCCUCUAAAAUCCAUCAAAAUCUAACAACUGAUGGAAUCCUUGAGAAUCUAUAGAGUUUUGAAUACCCUCGUAUUUUGAUGGAUAUUUUAAAAUCUGAAUCGAAUACAUCAAGAUUUAUAAGGAGUUUUUAAAAUUUGAUUGAAUACCCAUAGAUUUUCAGAAUCCAAAAAAAUCCAACAGACUCCCAAUUGAAUACACCCCCCUAUGUAGUUCAAGUCUCACCUUGGAACCUCUCACAGAAUUGUCUAUAAGCAUCAGAAGGAGCAGACAGGAUUUCAUCGGGAGAAGGGGAGGAACAAAGUGAUUGUCCAUUGCACAAUGUCGCCGGCAAUGGAUUGGAAGUCUCACCUGCACCACACAAACACACAAAACUCACUAAUUUGCUUAAAUUUCAUCAUAAAUUUCGGCUAAUCACUAAAAGCAUCAACUAGAUUAUAAGUCUAACCCUGAGACUGAAAACUUAAAUAAAAUGGUGCAUCAGUAACUACGACCUUUACCAUCAGACUUGCUUUGACAAGAAUAAGUGUGUGCCACUUUCACUGGAGAAUAAGGUGAUUGUGUAUUGUUGUUGUUUCUGGGUUGCUCUAGAACAGUAAAUGCCUCACCUGCACCAAAAGCUUUAUUAUAGUCAUAUAACAGCAUUGACCACCAACAAAAUGAAUCAACUUGAGAGAGUGAAAGUAGUGACAAACCUUGAAACCCAUCAUCAAGUUGGCCAGGACCAGACAGUCUUUGAGAAGAAGUGCGUGCAAGUUUCAUCGGAGAACCCGAUGAAUAAGGUGAUUGACCUCUAACAGGUGGCAGGUGAUUAAAUGCCUCACCUGCACCGAAAAUCUAGUCAUAUAACAGUGAUGACAACAAGUCCAGUAGUCCACAACCAAAUGAAUCAACUUGAGAAAGCAAAAUAUGACAAACCUUGUGACUUCUCAUGAACUUGUGCAUGAGUAGACAAUCUUUGAUAAGAACAACUCCCUGUUGCUUUCGAUGGAGAACCAUAGCAGUAAGGUAACCUGUCACUAACUGCCUCACCUGCACCAAAAUCCUUAACACUAUCACACACAAAACACUCAUAUGACCACAAUGCAAUGCAUCAAAAUAGAGAACGCAAGAAGCACAACAAACCUCGAGACCUCUCAUCAACUUGUACAUGAGCAAUAAAGCUUCCAUCACAGCUUCCGGGUUGCUCCACAACACCAUACACCUCACCUGCACCAAAACCCACAGAUCCAGUUUCCCUCACUAUAUCAAACCCACAGUAAAGAACACUGGAGACCAUCAUAUAUACCCCAACCCUGAACAUGAAGUGAUGAAAACUAUACCGAACCGGGAUCGAUCCAUGAACAUAAAUCAAUCAGAACUAACAAACCCUAAACAUUGGUAAGGCUGACGAGAUUAAUAAAUGGUAAACGGCGUGUUGUGUAAGCUUCGGCAAUGUAGACUGUAGAGUGGAGUUAAUUGAUUGAUAGGUUCAUAACUCUGAAGCAUGCAACGCCAUUUGUUUUUGGUCUUUUCCUAUCAAAAAUCCUACACUUCUAGUCCAAUUAUUCUUUAAUCCUGCACAUAAUCUGAUGCUAAUUUACCAAAACUAAAGAUCCUGAGCUCAAAUCAAGAACAAAAUCAACACUAGAACUCGACUCGACCCGAGAAUCGAAAUGGUACCUUGCUGAUUGGUCCCUGAAGGAGAGAGUGACGCUCUCCGAAGCUUCUCCGCUGGGCUUGUUCACCUAGAUCCACGAGACUUCAUCGGAAACCUCGGCAUCCGGAUCUGCGGCGCCGCCGAUCUUCGUGACCAGCCGGACCUUUCGCGAUGUGCUGGAGCGGCGUUUAGGGGUUUUGGUGAGGUCGGGGUUGCCGGAAGCCAUGUGAAAAAUUAGGUCUGGGAGAAAUUAGGGUUUCAAAUUCGAGAUCUGAAAGCUUCGAAAUUGAGAGAGAUGAGAGCAAAGGCCAGUUGGGAAUUGAAAUUGGGGGAAAUUGAAAUUUAGAGAGAACUAAAGCGGGGAGUGGGCGGAAGCAAAGAUGAAUAGGAUAGUCACCCACGCACGACGCGCCUCGCUAGGCGUGCUUACAAUUGACAGUUAAAACGAGUUAAUUACCUUUUCAUUUCCGUCAGAAAACAAACGCGGAGCACAGACGCUCCGGAGCAUUCCAGACGUCUCCUCUCCUUCUAUCUUCUCCUCCCUUCUUUCUUUGUCUGUAACUCAUCAAAGCUUCAUUGUUCAUUCUUCCUUCAUAAACGUUUUUAGCUGAAAAACGUAUCUGUGGUGAACUCGAAAACGAAUCUCUCUUAGCCGGUGUACAGAAAUAAAGAAGUCUUUCACACUACCAGAAAUGUGGGCAACAAACACCAUCAUAAUGAUGUGCAUUGAACCAAUGGAAACUAAUCAGUGGUGUGGAUUCAUGAUAGCCACGGCCCUAGCCACUAUUAUGAGAUUAGUUUGCAUUGCUGGCGUGGCUUUUCCUAACAAUACACUAUCAUCUUUUUGGUGACUACAUAUAUACUCACUAAUUCAAUCUUUGGUGACUUCAUUGAAUUAAUAAAUAAAAAAAUAUUCAGCUAUAAAACUCUAUGGGUCCUACAUAUUCAGCAAAAGCAUCUUCAAAACCAGCUUCUUUAAAUUCAAAACCGCGAUCUCUAUCUCGUCUCUAGUAUCUCCUGCAAAGCAACAACAUGGGCAAAGAUUACUUGGCUAUAAAUCACCCCUCAUAAUUUUAUUUCCUUCAUAUAACAGAUGAUAUGUAUCUUGUGGAAAUAAAAUCAAUGUAUCCAGUGGAAAUAAAAUUAACUUGAAGCUCAUAAACUAUCAACAUGUUCAUAACCCGUGACUUUGUAAAAAUAUAAACUUAAAGCUCAUAAACUAUCAACAUGUUCAUAACCCCUGACUUCAUACCUAUAUCAACUUGAUGAACAAGUUCAUAUAAAAGCUCCCUACAUGUUAUGUAUCACAUACCUUAGUUCUUAAUACAAGAUAAUCCUCUCCUCUCUCUUUUUCCAUCACUAAAAUGCAAGUAUAGUGUACAAAGUCCACAUCUUUUCCUGCAAGCAGAAAAACACACUUUGGGUAAGUUGGCCAGAAAACAUACAAUAAAUUUCUUUUGGGUAAGAACCUUAGAAGAAACAAUUAUCAUUCACAUUUAUUAUAGUAAAACCUGGUUCAAGUUCAUAAAUUAAGCAUCUAUCGGCAUAGUUGACACAUAGAAGGUAAAAUCUGAAGCUAGAAAUGAGGUUAUAGUGAACAAUAAUGUAUUAUGAAUUAAGUUCCCAAGGAAUGGUAGUAUCAUAUAUAGUAAUGGUAGUAUCAGCCCACUUUUAUGGAUGAUGCAUAUUCAAUUACUGAUUCACAUUUACAAAAGAAUAUAAGCGUACCUUAUUGAGUGAACGACAUUUUUUUGUCUCCUCAUUCAUACGGUCUUGCAGCUUUCUGUUUCAGAAUGAACACCCUACAAAAAAAACUGCAUAUGACCAGUCAGUUAAGAAUCUUAAGAAGUUCAAAUAGAUUGAUAUGAAUCAAGGACAAUUGUAUACAAAUUAAGAACUGAUAAGGAGGGAAGAUAAAUAUGUAGGUGAAGUUUACCUCCUUCAACACCAGGGCAUCUAACUAUUCUUUUGUCAUGGUAAGACUUGACUAUAGGAGGCGCUUCCUAUAACACAGACAACAUACUAGCCUCAAUACACAAUAAUGGAAGCCCUAAACAUUAUUUGUACAUGUUCUAAACCAUGUAAACAUGCUUCAACUUUACCAGUUGAAAUUGACACAUAAGAGGUGCACAAUACGCAUAUUUUUUUGUCUAUUCAUUCGAUAGAAAGCAAUUAACCAUGUAACCACAAAAUUCAUAUGGUAAGAUCGAGGAGUCUGACAACUAUUAUCUCUUUUUUCAUUCAUUCACUCGAAGAUCAAAAUAUAAAUAAAAAACACCUUCCCCUCGAUAGUUAUUAGAAAUCUGCAAUUAGGAAUCAAAAGACUCUUGUUUAAGGUCUAAAAGUAUGAAUGUAAAAGCCCACUUCUACGACAACAAAUGCCAAAGUCAUCUCAUAUAAUUUAUGAAUAAUGAAGCAAGAACAUGAAACAAAAAAAUUAAAUCUUCAGAGUACCUUAGUACCAAAAGGAUUAAUUGGAUUAUUAAUCUCAAGAAUUUCCUCCCCUAAAAAUUAAGUCUUCGGAGUACCUUAGUACCAAAAGCAGAUAUAAACUAACAAUAAUAUGAAGUUUGACUAUCAUAUUCAUCUCAUCACCCAAAAACAGUGAUGUAAGCUACUUAAUAUAACAGACCAUAAAAGCUGGAAGAAGCUAGUUAUGCAGUAAUUCUCUAUUUGGUGUAAAGAAUAUAAAACUCCAAAGAAACUGCAUUUGAUUGAAGAGUUCAUAAAAUUGAUUUCCCAUCAAGAAUAUACAGUCACAUUUAAGAUUGAUACAAAAGACAUAUCUACAAGUUAAAUGUGCAGACAUACUGACAAUUAAACAUUAGUGUCUACAUGAACUCCUUUUUUUCUUAUUGAUACAUGAACUCCUUUUAUACCACAUCAAACUAAUAAUAAUCAAGUUAUUAGUAGAGUCCUUACUUAAACCUCAUGAACAUUACAAAGUAUUGAAAGCGAAUAAACAUCUCAGAGAACAGAACUCACCAGGUAAACAACUUCUAUUAAAUAAUUCUCGACAUUGUCAUUUCUGAAACAACAGUAUCAAGAAUAAGCACCCAAAUUAACUAUUAUAUAGUCAGCAGUUAUAAAAUUUCAUCAAAAAAGAAUUUUCAUCAGUUAAAUUAUAUCACCUUCCACAGUUCCACCUUUCAUUAUCCUAAAGAUCAUGAAAAUGUCCAUUCCUUUUCUGUUCUUUUGACCAGUGUGAUAAGCUUCAUUCCAACCCUAAAAAAUUAACCCCAAAGUUCAAGUUUUGCGGUGGAGAAAGAAUGCAUGCAAGAGCCUCUAAAACCAAAAUAAAGAAUUAUGAUGCACAAGAAAAGAAAAGCACAACAUACCAAAGCAAUUAAAUAUAACAACUUCAUUACAAAUGUAAAAACGAAGCAGAUAGGGAGAUACACUGACUUGUUCCUCUUUCCAUUCAUCGGGUCGGAGCACCAGUUAAUCUUUCACAGCCCAUGGUGAUCUGCAAAAUUUUCAAUCGAUCAAUCUUCAUACUAUGCUGAAAGAUGAUAUCGGAAACCAAUCAAUGAAGCGAGAUUGGGAUUUAAGAUUUUCAUUACUUGCAGCGCCGACGAAGACACGGAGUUGGAUUAGAUCGGCGUAUGGCCGAAACAGACAGAGUAAUUUAGAGGCUUGUCGAGCUGCGGUAGCUGAGAGAGAGAGAGAGAGAGAGAGAGAGAGAGAGAGAGAGAGAGAGAGAGAGAGAGNNNNNNNNNNNNNNNNNNNNGGAGAGGAACUUCGUUAUGCACCAUAAGAAAAAAGAGAUAAACUCAUAAAAGUAUAAUUUUAUAACUUUAAACAAUAUUGGUGACGGUCAAACAGUUGUGGUUUUUGCUAAUAGUGACACCGUUAUAAGGAUUGGGGAGAAAUCCUAUGGGUUAUGUCACCAUUAGACUAAUAGUGCAUAGAAAAUAGUAUCUGAUGCCCACAUUUGUGGUAGUGUCAUCUGCAGUCAUAGUCUCAAGAAUGACAAAUCGUCAUCAUCUGAAGUAUUGAGGCAUGUCAGAGAUUUCCAAUCUUCCUUCAAAAGGUUAGAUUUUUCCUUCCAUGACCCAUGUAAUAUCAGGAUUUAAGUGGGUAUAACAUGACUGAGAAAUUUGAAAAUAGGAAUUUAUUGGUUAUGAUUUCUUCAUGAUUUUCUGCUAACAUAAAUUCUCAAUUUUUUUUUCAUAUAUUAUUUCUUAGGAAAUUGAAUUCUGGUGAAGUUAAUCAAUGUGUUUGCAUAUAGGCGUCAACAGAUCGAGCUUGGCUGAGUAGUUGCCUCCUCCACAUGUAUAUGUGUUGGCUUUAAACUCAGUCUUCUACUAUAUGUGAUGUUUUGUUUCGUUAAGUGUUUAUUUUGUGAUCUUGUUUCGUCAAGUGCUGAUGUUUCUUAAUAUCUUUUAUUAAACAGCGACAAGCGUGGCUCGUGGAUCACAUUGUACCGAUACUGUCCCAACUUAACCACCUUUAAGGUGUUGGGUUUUAAUCACAAAAGGCCUCGGUACAAUUGGAUAAGAUCCAUCCACAUAUAAGUUAUAUUUUAUUUGUCACUUUUCUGAUGUGGGAUUUAUUCCUCUCUAAUACUUCUAAUACGCCCCCUCACGUGCAACCUGACUUAAGGUCCGCACGUGGAAUGAAUCGGGACGGAACGAACCAAGGGACACUUAGUGACAAUCCAAUCGGAAUAUUCCGAUGGUGAGACAAGAAGCCGGAACCGGGCGAGAAAAUAGAAUCCCGGACCGGACGAGAGAAUGAACCCAAAUCGGGCCCAUGAGAAUUGGAGAAGUAAUUGGAGAGGGACCCGCUCUGAUACCAUGUUAAACAGCGACAAGCGUGGCCUAUGGAUCACAUUGUACCGAUACUGUCCCAACUUAACCACCUUUAAGGUGUUGGGUUUUAAUCACAAAAGGCCUCGGUACAAUUGGAUAAGAUCCAUCCACAUAUAAGUUAUAUUUUAUUUGUCACUUUUCUGAUGUGGGAUCUAUUCUUCUCUAAUACUUCUAAUAUUUUUGUCUACUUUUCAGGUAUGUGUUCUUGCAAAAUUUAUUAGCCUUAGCUGAAGUUGUUGUUGAGCUUGACUUACAGAAUGAGGUUGGGGAAAUACAAAGAUUAGCCUUUUCGACUUUGCAAAGGAUGGAUCAGGCCAUCAGGGGACGAGCAUCAUUAGUUAGUUUCAACUUUCAACAAUAGUUUUUUAGAUUAGCUCCAUGUAAAUAGAUUAGCUCCAUUUCCCUCCUGGCCUCCUGGGAAAUUUUGAUUAGUUGUGCUUUGUUGUGGAUUUCCUGCAAAUCAGUUAAUGAAUAUAAUCAUUUAGAGAAACUCCGUAUUUCUAUGAAUAAUUGGACGUAUUUCUAUAAAUAAUCGGGUAUUUCUCUAAAUAAAUACAAACCAAUUUGAAUAAGAGCCGUCAGAUAUAUGGUGGGCCCAGAUAAUUCACAUUUAUAACAGCUGUUGAAUUUUACACAUUUUUUUUACAAUCCACACACCUCUAUCUCACUUUUUAUAAGAAAAUGUCUAAAAUGACUCUAUUUUAGACAACUAGAAAAAUUAAAACAUGGAUAGUUUAGACAUUUUCUUAUAAAAAGUAGGGUUUAGGUGUGUAAAUUUCACUCCCCUUAUAUUGACCCUUAAAAUGGUAAUAUAAAAUGGGUCCCAACUUUGAUAGCACCCACGAAUGUUUCGUAUACGUGAGAUUUUUAAGCUAUCGCCAUGGCAUUAGUCCGCAAAUCGUGACCAAGCCCAAUGCACACGAUUAUUCGUAGGUAAAAAGGCAACUCCCACGAAACAAAUUCCUAGCUAUACCCAGUUUUUUUUUUUUUUUUUUAGUGAUGGCUGAUUAAGUUGGAUAAGAGCUAGAUGUAUUGGUUCCACUUCCACCUCCAUGUAAACACAAAACUAUUGUAAUUUACCACACAAUAACUAAUUAGCAAAGACUAGUAGAAUACGUAUAUGUACUAAUGUACACCAAGGACUGACACCAAACUAACAAUUCAGGUGGCCCAUAUAUAACCGAGUUCGUUUUAUAAUUCGAGUUCUUACAUCUUUUUAAUAGAUUGAGCUGAUCAAGCAAAAAUUCGAAUCAAACAAAUGAAGUAAACGGAUCAAUGAACACAGGUUAUUCAAUAUGCAUGAUUGUGAUGUUACUGAAAUUAAUGGACAAUCAAUUUCAGUAUAAAGCUUAAGGUUAGCUGAGCAUGUCGUCUUAAUUAACUGCAGUACGUAUAGAUGAUCUGUUCUCAUUCAGUGUGCUGAUGUUCAUCUUCAGAAUGGAAAUCUGAAGUUGUGAAGAUGUAGUUUUUGAGAGCCCCGAGAAUGAUCCAUGCACAAUAGCACGAAAGACGAAAACUGAAGUGGAAGUAGAAUUUUUCUGUAAACUUUGUACCUACAAAAUUAAGUUUAAUAAUUUUCAGAUUCUUAUGCAGAGGUUUGGGUACGCAUGAAUCAAGAGAUCAGUGAAAGCAUAUUCUCAUCAUAAUUAACAUCAUACUUUCUGCAAUUUGUUCUCAAAUUGGAUUACCUAUAUAUAAAUUCUAGGCCAUAUAGAAAAUUAGAAAUAUAAGGUUGUUCAGCUUCCAUUCCGUGGAUGGAAAAUUCUAGUAUACCAUAUGGUAUAACAUACCUCACAAAAUAUGUGGCUAUCAUUGAUUGAAAAAACAACUAAAUGACCAUGUAAUGACUAUUUACCCCUUCAAAAGCCCACAUAGGCAUGUCAUACCAUAUGGUAUGAUAAACAAACCCUCCGUGGAUAUAUUUGUUAAAGAUCCUUGAAUCAUUUCCCCCAAAAAAGAAAAAGAAAAAAAAAGGAGAUCCUUGAAUCAGAGGUUAUAUAGGCUUUGAUGAAUGUCGUAUAUUGCUCGUCAUUUUCUUGAUGCAUCUAAUUAAGUACGUAGUUGGAGAAAACAAGAUGCCAGUGAAUCUAAUACCAAGAUUUCUUGCAGGGCUGCUUAAUAUCAAGUUAUCAACUAUUGUGAGUUACUAAAAUGAUUGAGUUCGUAUGUGGGUGAAGAUUUCACAUGGAAAUUUUGAUACAGAGAUAUGUAAUUAUGCAAACAGAUCCGUUCAUAUAUUCCUUUCCAUCGACAAACAAGUUACAUCAACACAGGCACACUUGAAAGAAAUCCCAUUUACAACAGUUGCGCACACAUGAUUAAAUCGAUCACUUCACUCCAAAACUUUCAAACCUCACUUUCCGGGAACAAAGUUUGUGGCAUAUGACCAAGCGUUGUUGUUAACAGGGUCAGCCAAGUGAUCAGCUAGGUUCUCAAUCGGUCCCUUUCCGGUAACAAUAGCUUGCACGAAGAAUCCGAACAUGGAAAACAUAGCCAGUCUUCCGUUCUUGAGCUCCUUCACCUUAAGCUCAGCAAAAGCCUCAGGAUCGUCUGCAAGCCCUAAAGGGUCAAAGCUCCCACCGGGGUACAACGGGUCUACUACCUCACCGAGAGGACCUCCUGCAAUUCUGUAGCCUUCAACAGCACCCAUCAAGAUCACUUGUGUUGCCCAGAUUGCCAAAAUGCUUUGAGCGUGGACCAAGCUAGGGUUUCCCAAGUAGUCUAGUCCACCCUCACUGAAGAUUUGAGCUCCAGCCUUGAACCAAACAGCUUCGCCGAACUUGACUCCAUUACGAGCCAAGAGUUCAGGGAAAACACAGCCAAGGGCACCUAGCAUGGCCCAUCUGGAAUGGAUGACUUCGAGCUCACGGUUCUUGGCAAAGGUCUCAGGAUCAGCUGAGAGCCCAGCUGUGUCCCAGCCGUAGUCACCGGGAAACUCUCCGGUGAGGUAAGACGGGGCUUCGCCGGAGAAUGGUCCCAAGUACUUGACACGGUCAGGACCGUACCACGGGCUGACGGAUGACACAUUCUUUGACUUGGCUGCGGUUUUGCGCAUGGUAACUCGGCCCUCACCGAGGAGGUUAGAUGUGGAGGAACCAAGCUUCACAGCUUGGCCAGCUAGAGAAGGGGAGGAGAGAGCCAUUGUUGAAGAAGCCAUUUGAGGAAAGUGUUGAGAGUUCUCAGCUUAGACAAUGUGGGGUGGUGAGGGCCGAGGGUUUGUGUUUUGAGUAGAGCCGUUGGUGGCUAUUUGUAUAGGGUUUUGUGUGGGGGUUCUUUAUCUUUUUGAUAUCUUCAUCUCUAUUCUUAUUGGGUGAUAGUGAAGUUUGAAGAUUUUUCCCUUCAACGGAUCUCUGCAUUUCCAGUUGGCCUCGUAUGCUCCACUACUAAGUUCAGUUAGUUCCAAAAAUAGAAAGACAUGCAGAGACAAAAAUGGAAAUCUGUUGUGGAUGUACUCUAUCGAAAAUAAAAUCUGUUGUGGAUACUCUGUGCUUUGAUUUCCAGCUAAUAGACGGUGACCACGUCAGCUUUGGAUCAGGGUAAUGGCUGAUUAAGAUUCUUGGAUAAGAGCUAGAUGUAUUAGUUCCACCUCCAUGUAAUGUACGUAUAUGUACACAAAGAAGUUAAUUAACUAGCAAAGAAUAGUAGAAUACGUAUAUGUACAUAAAGGACUAAUACCAAACUAACAUGCAACUCAGGUGAUCCCAUAUUAAUUAUAACGAGUUCGUUUUAUAAUUCGAGUCGUUACAUCUGUUUGAAAGACUAAGUUUAUCAUGUAAUAAUUUGAAUCAAACAAAUGAAGUAAACGGAUCAAUGAACACUGGUUAUUAAUGCAUGAUUGUGAUGUAUAUAUGUUACUGAAAUGGACAAGCAGUGUUUCUGUAUAAGCUUAAGUUUUCGCCAGAUCAAUUGAAGGAGGCCGAGCAUGUCGCCUAAAUUAACUGCAGUACAUAGACGAUCUGUUCCCAUUCAGUGUGAUGAUGUUCAUCUUCAGAAUGGAAAUCUGAAGUUGUGAAGCAAAAUGUAGUUUAUGAGAGCCCCAAGAAUGAUCCAAUGCACGAUGGCCUCCUGAAAGUCGAAAACUGAAGUAGAAGUAGAAAUUUUCUGUUAACUUUAUACCUACAAGUUUAAUAAUUUCAUGGACGCAUGAAUCAAGAGAUCAGUGAAAGAACAUUGUCAUCAUACUUUCUGCAAGCUAUCCUCAAAUUGGAUUACCUAUACAUGAAUUCAAGGCAUCAGCCAAAAGCCCAAAAGUAGUAUUGCAUAUAGGUUGUCCAGCUUCCAUGUUUGUCAUAAGGAUCCUCAAAUCAGCAUUAGUGGCUUUGAUUGAAUUUCAUAUAUCGCUUGUCAAUUUGUUGAUGCAUCUAAUUAAGUCGGAGAAAUUAUACAAGAUGUGUCAGAUAUUUCCAUGAUUUCUGGCAAUGCUGCUUAGAGCUGAUUCAUUAACUUGUGAGUUAAUAAAAGAUGAUUGAGCUUGUAUAGUUGUAUAUAUGGGUGAAGAUUUUACAUAAAAUUUUUAGUACAGAGCAAUUUAAGCAAACAGAUCUGUUGAUAUAUUCCUUUCCAUCGACAAACAAGUUACAUCAACAGAAACACACUUGAAAGAAAUCCCAUUUACAACAGUUGCAAACACAGAUGAUUCGAUCGAUCACUUCUCUCCCAAGCUUUCAAACCUCACUUUCCGGGAACAAAGUUGGUGGCAUAGGACCAAGCGUUGUUGUUAACAGGGUCAGCCAAGUGGUCAGCUAGGUUCUCAAUCGGUCCCUUUCCGGUAACAAUAGCUUGUACGAAGAAUCCGAACAUGGAAAACAUGGCCAGUCUUCC